AGAGUGGGUGUGGAGGAGGAAGACUGGAUGCCAAUGAUCCUGAUCUCACUCUGUCACCAAGGCUGGAGUGCAGCAGCAGAAUUUCAGCUCACUGCAACCUCGACUUGCUGGGUUCAAGGGAUCUCCCAAGUAGCUGGGACUACAGCUGCACACCAUCAUGCCUGGCUAAUUUUUUGUAGGGAUGGGGUUUUACCAUGCUGCCCAGGCUGGUCUUGAACUUCUGAGUUCAAGUGAUCCUCCCUCCUGAGCCUCCUAAAGUGCUGGGAUUACAGGUUUAAAAAAUAUCCUGGACUUUGGAAAAUAUUCUUAUAUAAAGAAGCAAAAAGAGGAUGGAAUAGACUUGUGCUAACACUGAAACUCCAGUCAAGUUGUAAACUGAAAAAGAACGUGUUGAAACAAGGAAUUGCCCCAUAGCCUUCACAGGAUCUCACUCUGUUGCAGUGUCACUGGAGUGCAGUGGUGCAGUCUUGGCUUCCUGCAACAUCUGCCUUCCAGAAUCAAGCAAUUAUCCAGCUUCAGCCUCCCGAGUAGCUGGGACCACAGACGUGCCACCAUGCCUGGCUUAUUUUUUUAUUUUUUGUAGAGAUGGGGUUUCACCAUUGUUGCCCAGGCUGGGCUCAACUCCUGAGCUCAAAGUGAUCCAUCUGCCUCAGCCUCCCAAAGUGCUGGAAUUACAGGCUCAGUCUAUACUAGUAUAUUUACAACUAUAUUUUAUUACAAUAUUUAUUAAAUAUUGUUGUCUUUUGCUAGGAAACUUAAAAACCUUAAAGAACAUCAUUUGUGAGCUCCCAAUUGGCACAAAUUACAUAAGGUACUCUACACAUAUUUUUAUUUUCUUAACUUUUUGUUAUAACAAGUGAAAAAUCUAAAAAUCAACUGAAUAAGCUUUUAUGUUGAAAAGUAUACUUAAAUGAUUCUGGUGAUCAUGGUGUUCUAGUAAGAAAAAUGCUUUGCUAGUGACGUGACAGCGUACGGCACAUGAAUAAUAUUUGAAAUCUUGCUACUCUUUUCUUAUAUUCUGCCCCAAACCCAAAGGAAGUUUAAAAUGAGAAAAAAGGUAAAGGUACGAAAGAACCUUUGGUGACUCAGGUGGCUUCAGACUUACCAGUCACAAAAACUUGCAAGCAGGUUCUAGGAGACUUCACUGCAUCCAUAUAUGCUGUUAUAGUGUUUUUUUUUUUUUUUUUUUUUGAGACGGAGUCUCACUCUGUUGCCCAGGCUAGAGUGCAGUGGUGUGAUCUCGGCUCGGCUCGCUGCAACCUCCACCUCCUGGGUUCAAGUAAUUCUUCCACUUCAGCCUUACGAGUAGCUGGGACUAUAGGCACCUGCCACCAUGCCAAGCUAAUUUUUGUAUUUUUAGUAGAGACGGGGUUUCACCAUGUUGGCCAGGCUGGUCUCAAACUCCUGACCUCAAGUGCCCACUCCAUCCUCCCAAAGUGCUGGGAUUACAGGCAUGAGCCACCGCACCCGGCUUGUUAUAGUCUUAAAACACUCUACACCAGGGGUUAGUAAACGUUUCCUAUAAAGGGCCAGAUAGUAAAUAUUUUAUGUCACUACGCAACUCUCCACGGUAGCAUGGAAGCAGCCAUAGACAAUACGUAACUGAAUGAGUGUGGUGUGUUCCAGUAACGCUUUAUAGACACAGAAAUUCACUUAAAGUCCAUAUAAUUUUCACAUGCCAUGAAAUAUUUACUGUUUUUGGGGGGGGGGAUGGGGACAGGGUCUCAUUGUCACUCAGGCUAGAGAGCAGUGGCACCAUCACGGCUCAGUGUAGCCUAGACCUCCUGAGCUCAAGCGAUCCUCCUAUCUCUCAGCCUCCUGAGUAGCUGGGAUCACAGGCAUGUGCCACUAUGCCCAGUUAAUUUUUGUAUUUUUUGUAGAGAUGAGGUUUCACCAUGUUGCCAAGGCUGGUCUUGAACUCCUGGGUUCAAGCAAUCCACCUGCCUUGGCCUCCCGAAACGUUAGGAUUACAGGCGUAAGCCACUGCACCCAGUGAUUUAAUAGAUGUAAAAAUCAUUCUUAGUUCUUGGGGCAAAUAAAACAGGUUUGCAGGCCAGAUUUGGCCUGGGAGGUAUAGUGUGGACUGGUCCACACGAUUGGAGAGUCAGCAGGCUCUUACUCUCAGACUUCCUGGUGGUCCUCACCAGUCUAUUUUACAGUGGCUUCUUUCUUUCCUUUCUGCCACUGUUGAUGGGACUGUAGCGUCACUGCAUGUGACUGAUACCAAAAGAGAAAGGUUCUUUUAAUUAAUCUUUCCAUAUUAUCCAGAAGAUUUUUUUCAGUUUUAUUUCUUAAACAUAUAAGAGGGCAUUAUAAAAUGACAUUAUAAUUAUAAAAGAUUUUCUUUUAAGAACAAUGUUUUUAGGCCCACUAAUAUUACUUAAUAAAAAGAGCAGAUAUUU
rnacentral:antisense_RNA from 1 species